rnacentral:tRNA from 1 species
GCGCUAGUAGUAUAGUGGUUAUUAUGCGGCCUUCCCAAGGCUGCGGCCCGGGUUCGAAUCCCGGCUGGCGCA